UGGGGAAUAUUGCACAAUGGGCGCAAGCCUGAUGCAGCGACGCCGCGUGGGGGAUGACGGCCUUCGGGUUGUAAACCUCUUUCAGUAUCGGCGAAGCUUGCGGGUUUUCUCGCAGGUGACGGUAGGUACAGAAGAAGCACCGGCCAACUACGUGCCAGCAGCCGCGGUAAUACGUAGGGUGCGAGCGUUGUCCGGAAUUACUGGGCGUAAAGAGCUCGUAGGUGGUUUGUCGCGUUGUCCGUGAAAACUCACAGCUCAACUGUGGGCGUGCGGGCGAGACGGGCAGACUGGAGUACUGUAGGGGAGACUGGAAUUCCUGGUGUAGCGGUGGAAUGCGCAGAUAUCAGGAGGAACACCGGUGGCGAAGGCGGGUCUCUGGGCAGUAACUGACGCCGAGGGGCGAAAGCGUGGGGAGCGAACAG
rnacentral:rRNA from 1 species